AAGGGUAGAAGAUGUAGCGAAGCCCAUUCUGUUUAGCGAUGAAAUUACAGAUAAAUUAGCUACAAUGGGCAUGGUUUAAUCGCCGGAGUUAGAUUCCGGAUAGCUGCGAAAGUGGCGGGAUUAUAUAGGUAUAUUAGCAAUAAUAUAACAAGUAGGGCAUGGAUUAAGACGCUUGAUAAUAUAUACAGCUGUAGAAAGCUGACUUUAAAUA
rnacentral:sRNA from 12 species